rnacentral:ncRNA from 13 species
UUAUAGUAUGAAAGGAGAGACGUUUAGCACUCCCCUAGACAAGAAUGGAACACGUAUAUAAGGUAAGGCACUUUCGGCGGCACUUACCAAAUUUA